GAAAUGCGAUAAGUAGUGUGAAUUGCAGAAUUCAGUGAAUCAUCGAAUCUUUGAACGCACAUUGCGCCCCUUGGUAUUCCAUGGGGCAUGCCUGUUCGAGCGUCAUUUGUACCCUCAAGCUCUGCUUGGUGUUGGGUGUUUGUCCCCGUCUCCGCGCGUGGACUCGCCCCAAAGUGAUUGGCAGUCGGCGUACUGGUCCCGGAGCGCAGCACAUGUCGCGCAAACGAGUGCCUUGGUACGGCGGCGUCCAUAAGCCCCUCUCUCACGCUCUUGACCUCGGAUCAGGUAGGGAUACCCGCUGAACUUAAGC
rnacentral:misc_RNA from 1 species